GCUUGUCUCAAAGAUUAAGCCAUGCAUGUCUUAGUGUAAAUAACUCUUAUGAAACUGCGAAUGGCUCAUUAAAUCAGUUAUCAAAUACGUGAUGGUCGCCUACUACAUGGAUAACCGUAGUAAUUCUAGAGCUAAUACAUGCACAAAGGCCCACUCACGUGGGUUGUGAUUAUUAGAUUCAAACCGGCCUCGUUCUGGUGAUUCAUAAUAAUUGGUCGAACCGCAUGCCCUUGUGGUGGCGGUGAUUCAUCCUUAUUUCUGCCCUAUCAUGGUUGAGAUUGUAAGAUAGAGGCUUACAAUGCCUACAACGGGUAACGGGGAAUUAGGGUUCGAUUCCGGAGAGGGAGCCUGAGAAACGGCUACCACAUCCAAGGAAGGCAGCAGG
rnacentral:rRNA from 1 species